GGUUUGAUUAUGGCUCAGAUUGAACGCUGGCGGGAUGUGCUUUACACAUGCAAGUCGAACGGCAGCACGGACUUCGGUCUGGUGGCGAGUGGCGAACGGGUGAGUAAUGUAUCGGAACGUGCCUAGUAGCGGGGGAUAACUACGCGAAAGCGUAACUAAUACCGCAUACGCCCUUCGGGGAAGCGGGGGACCUUCGGGCCUCGCACUAUUAGAAGCAGCCGAUAUCGGAUUAGCUAGUUGGUGGGAGUAACGGCUCACCAAAGGCGACGAUCCGUAGCUGGUUUGAGAGGACGACCAACCACACUGGGACUGAGACACGGCCCAGACUCCUACGGGGAGGCAGCAGUGGGGAAUUUUGGACAAUGGGGGAAACCCUGAUCCAGCCAUCCCGCGUGUGCGAUGAAGGCCUUCGGGUUGUAAAGCACUUUUUUGGCAGGAAAGAAACGGCGCGCAGAUAAUACCCCGUGCAACUGACGGUACCUGCAGAAUAAGCACCGGCUAACUACGUGCCAGCAGCCGCGGUAAUACGUAGGGUGCAAGCGUUAAUCGGAAUUACUGAGGCGUAAAGCGUGCGCAGGCGAUUCGGAAAAGAAAGAUGUGAAAUCCCAGGCUUAACCUGGAACUGCAUUUUUAACUACCGAGCUAGAGUGUGUCAGGGAGGUGGAAUUCCGCGUGUAGCAGUGAAAUGCGUAGAUAUGCGGAGGAACACCGAUGGCGAAGGCAGCCUCCUGGGAUAACACUGACGCUCAUGCACGAAAGCGUGGGGGAGCAAAACAGGAUUAGAUACCCUGGUAGUCCACGCCCUAAACGAUGUCAACUAGCUGUUGGGGCCUUCGGGCCUUGGUAGCGCAGCUAACGCGCAUGAAGUUGACCGCCUGGGGAGUACGGUCGCAAGAUUAAAACUCAAAGGAAUUGACGGGGACCACUGAAAGCGGUGGAUGAUGUGGAUUAAUUCGAUGCAGCGACGCGAAAAACCUUACCUACCCUUGACAUGUCUGGAAUCCCGAAGAGAUUUGGGAAUUCUCGCAAGAGAACCGGAACACAGGUGCUGCAUGGCUGUCGUCAGCUCGUGUCGUGAGAUGUUGGGUUAAGUCCCGCAACAGGCGCAACCCUUGUCAUUAGUUGCUACGAAAGGGCACUCUAAUGAGACUGCCGGUGACAAACCGGAGGAAGGUGGGGGAUGACGUCAAGUCCUCAUGGCCCUUAUGGGUAGGGCUUCUACGUCAUACAAUGGUCGGGACGGGGGUCGCCAACCCGCGAGGGGUAAUCCCAGAAACCCGAUCGUAGUCCGGAUCGCAGUCUGCAACUCGACUGCGUGAAGUCGGAAUCACUAGUAAUCGCGGAUCAGCAUGUCGCGGUGAAUACGUUCCCGGGUCUUGUACACACCGCCCGUCACACCAUGGGAGUGGGUUUUACCAGAAGUAGUUAGCUAACCGUAAGGAGAGGCGAUUACCACAGUAGGAUUCAUGACUGGGAGUGAAGUCGUAACAAGGUAA
rnacentral:rRNA from 1 species